AUAUAGAGAGAGAGAGAGAGAGAGAGAGAGAGAGAGAGAGAGAUGGGCUGGGAAUGCUAUUAGUAUCAAACGAAUUUCGUUGUCAUUCAUUUAUUUUUGAUGAUGAAGCCUCCAAAUCGACUAUCGGUAUUAUUGAAUAUGAUUUAAAUCACUUGAAGUAUCUAAAAAUUAAAUUUUAAAUUUUUUCAACAUCAUUGAUCUAAUGAUCAACGGAUUUCAAAUUUUAUAAUUUUAAUGAUCGAUAUGAGACGUUUUUUCGUUUAAUGACGUAAAGAUAUCCGAAUCAAUUGAAUUUUGCUUAGAAAAUUUUUUAACUAUUUAGAACAAGAUCUAUACUCUUGAUCUUGAUUGCACGACUCAUAUCAUCACUUUUUAAAGGAUAUUUAUUUUUAGUUGUUUAUUUUUGUAUCCAUUUGAUGGAUAAGAGAACAAUAUUGAAAAAUAUAUAAAAUUUGACUUCCGGAUGUUUCAAGUGGUAUAGAUCAUGUUCAACUGUGCCGAUCUUGAUUUGGAGGCUCUAUCAUCGAAAACAAAUGGUGGCAAUGUAUUCCAUUUGCUACUGAUAGUACGUAUUCCAGCUCAACUAUAUAUAUAUAUAUAUAUAUAUAUAUAGAUAGAGAGAGAGAGAGAGUUCAGCUACUGUACUAUCGAUAGUAUCAAGGGCUUGAUGCUAUCGAGUUUUUCACCAUUAGAUCUAUC
rnacentral:lncRNA from 1 species